UACGUAGGUGGCAAGCGUUGUCCGGAAUUAUUGGGCGUAAAGCGCGCGCAGGUGGUUCCUUAAGUCUGAUGUGAAAGCCCACGGCUCAACCGUGGAGGGUCAUUGGAAACUGGGGAACUUGAGUGCAGAAGAGGAAAGUGGAAUUCCACGUGUAGCGGUGAAAUGCGUAGAGAUGUGGAGGAACACCAGUGGCGAAGGCAACUUUCUGGUCUGUAACUGACACUGAGGCGCGAAAGCGUGGGGAGCAAACAGG
rnacentral:rRNA from 1 species